UAUUGCAUCACUGCUUCUCACUUGUGUGGAAUGGAACUUUGAAAUCCGCUAGAAAACAUCGCGUGUGAUCAUCGUACUUGAAAGAAACACAUACCUACGGGCAGACGACAUGGCAGACAAUAAAAUGAUAGAUAUAUUAAAAAUCCUACAUUUAGAACAUCUGGAGAAUAAUUUUAAAAUUGAUUUUAUCGCAAACAGCCAUGUAUAUUUCGUAAAUGCAUCCACCACUAUCAAGACGAAUCGAUAAUUGUCCGGAGUUUUUUCCAACUGCCCAAAGUGAUCAAUGUGCAGUGUCUCGAAAGGAAUAGUCCCUUGUUUGACCACUUACAAUUUCCCUUCCGAUCUUUCGGUGGAAAAAGUUGUAAUUAAACAUUUAAUACAAUUUCGGAUAUAUUCCUGAACAGUCUGCUUCAUACAAGGAAACCAAACAUAAAAUUACAAAACAAGUAUUACAACAUCUAGAUGAAGAAUUAAUUAAGGAAUUGAUACCCUUGAUUGGAGAUAGGAGUACAUUUUUAGCGUUUUGGAAACCAAAUUAUAAGUAUGACAAAUGAAUUGGGUGAACUAUAGCUAAAAUGAUUGUUCAGACUUUUCCAAGUGAAAGAUCCGAAACGUAUUAUGUUCCUCCAGUUAGGAAAAAGGAUUCCAUACAUAAUAAAUCAAUGGCAUCGAAGGGUAAAUUGAUAUCUAUGUGGCGAAAUAGAAAAUACAAAAGCAAUCAAUUGCUUGAAAAAGUCAUCAAAGUAACCGUAAAUCAAACGGAUAUUAAGCAGACAGAACAAGAAAUGUGAGAUCAUACGAGAUCAUACGACACGUGGCAAUAAUGAAUGAUGGACU